AGCACGGGGGCAACCCUGGUGGCGAGCGGCGAACGGGUGAGUAACACAUCGGAACAUGCCCAGUCGUGGGGGAUAACACUUCGAAAGAAGUGCUAAUACCGCAUACGUCCUGAGGGAGAAAGCGGGGGAUCGCAAGACCUCGCGCGAUUGGAGUGGCCGAUGUCAGAUUAGCUAGUUGGUGGGGUAAAGGCCUACCAAGGCAACGAUCUGUAGCUGGUCUGAGAGGAUGAUCAGCCACACUGGGACUGAGACACGGCCCAGACUCCUACGGGAGGCAGCAGUGGGGAAUUCUGGACAAUGGGGGCAACCCUGAUCCAGCCAUUCCGCGUGAGUGAAGAAGGCCUUCGGGUUGUAAAGCUCUUUCGGCAGGAACGAAACG
rnacentral:rRNA from 1 species